UACGUAGGUGGCAAGCGUUGUCCGGAUUUACUGGGCGUAAAGAGCGCGCAGGCGGUCGUUCAAGUCGCGUGUGAAAGCCCCCGGCUCAACUGGGGAGGGUCACGCGAUACUGAUCGACUGGAAGGCAGGAGAGGGUAGUGGAAAUUCCCGGUGUAGUGGUGAAAUGCGUAGAUAUCGGGAGGAACACCAGUGGCGAAGGCGACUACCUGGCCUGUUCUUGACGCUGAGGCGCGAAAGCUAGGGGAGCAAACGGGG
rnacentral:rRNA from 1 species